AUGUGGCUUAGAUGGCAAACACAGGUAUGGAGUCUUGAUAUAUCAAACACAAGCAUAAAUGACAUGGUACCAGGUUGGUUUUGGAUAGCAGCUUCCUCAGCAGAGUUUCUGAACAUUCGAAAUAAUCAGAUUACAGGAGUGCUCCCAUCAACAAUGGAAUUUAUGAGAGCAACAAAUAUGGAUUGCAGUUCUAACCAGCUUACUGGUCCAAUACCCAAACUUCCCAUCACUCUGACCGACCUGGAUCUCAGUCGGAACAACCUAGUUGGGCCACUACCAUUAGACUUUGGAGCUCCAGGGCUUGAAACACUUGUUCUAUAUAACAACAUGAUCUCUGGGGCCAUUCCAUCUUCUUUGUGCAGAUUGCGAUCAUUGUGGUUGUUAGAUCUAUCAAGUAAUAACCUCAAUGGAUCAAUUACCGAUUGCCUAGUCAACAAGUCUAGCACAAACAUGACAGAUCUGACUCUAAGCAUCGUUAACCUAAGCUUGAGAAACAACAACCUCUGGUGA
rnacentral:rRNA from 1 species